GCCAGGCAUGAUGGCGCAUGCCUGUAGUCCCAGUUGCUUGGGAGGCUGGGGCAGGAGAAUCACUUGAGCCCAGGAGAUCAAGGCUACAGUGAGCUAUGAUUGUGUCACUGCACUAUAGCCUGGGUGUCAGAGUGAGAUCCUGUCUCUC
rnacentral:SRP_RNA from 2 species